AGACGUCUACAUUAGAUACCCGUGUAGUCCCAGCCGUAAACUAUGCGCGUUAGGUGUAUCGGUGACCACGAGUUACCGAGGUGCCGAAGGGAACCGUGAAACGUGCCGCCUGGGAAGUACGGUCGCAAGGCUGAAACUUAAAGGAAUUGGCGGGGAGCACCACAACGGGUGGAGCCUGCGGUUUAAUUGGACUCAACGCCGGGAAGCUCACCGGAUAAGACAGCGGAAUGAUUGCCGGGCUGAAGACUCUGCAUGACUAGCUG
rnacentral:rRNA from 1 species